rnacentral:rRNA from 1 species
AUGCCAGAUCCUAAUAGAACAUACGCUCUGCAAUGCAUUUUCUGUGACAAGAUAUUAACUAGCGGCGUAACAAGGGUAAAGUAUCACCUUGCUGGCAUUAAGAAGUGCAUUGCUACACCAUGCCAGAAGGUUCCUCAGGAUGUGAAGGAGGAGAUGAAGGUUUUGCUCCUAAAGAGUAAUGAUGCGAAGGAUAAGAAAAUCACAGAAUUGGAAAAGAUAAGAAGUUCAGUUAACUUAGAUCACUCGGAGGGAGAAGAGGAGAGUGAUGACGACAGUGACAAUGAUAUUGUGUUGUCAACACAAAGCAGAAGCAGAUCCCAAGGUGGCCCUAUGGACAAGUUCUGCAUGUCAAGUGUAGAAGAAUGUGUCAAGAGGAAUCAAGGGCAAACUCUUAGCAUAAAGGUUCAAUCAAAGUUGUCAUCUCAGAAGACAGAAGAGAGGAAGAAUAGAGCUUGUGGGUACAUCUGUCAGUUUUUCUAUGAAGCUGGCAUUCCACACAACACUGUGACACUUCCUAGCUUUGCGAGUAUGCUUGUGGCCAUUGGACGUUUUGGCAAGGACCUUCAAGGACCUAGUGCCUAUGAGAUGAGUGGCCCAUUCCUGCAGAAAAUAAAGAAGAAGGUGCUUGACUCAUUCAAGAACCAUAAGAAAGCAUGGGAGCAGACAGGUUGUACGGUAAUGACCGAUGCAUAUACAGAUAAGAAAGUCAGAGGAGUAAUGAACCUAGUUGUUCACAGCGCACAUGGGGUCUUAUUUACGGAUUCGGUUGAUUGCUCGGAUGUCAAAAAAUGGGAAAUACAUCUAUGA